UACGUAGGUGACAAGCGUUGUCCGGAUUUACUGGGCGUAAAGAGCGCGCAGGCGGUCGUUCAAGUCGAGUGUGAAAGCCCCCCGGCUCAACUGGGGAGGGUCAUUCGAUACUGAUCGACUCGAAGGCAGGAGAGGGAAGUGGAAUUCCCGGUGUAGUGGUGAAAUGCGUAGAUAUCGGGAGGAACACCAGUGGCGAAGGCGACUUCCUGGCCUGUUCUUGACGCUGAGGCGCGAAAAGCUAGGGGGAGC
rnacentral:rRNA from 1 species